GUUUUUAAUCCUUGGUCAGGUCUUCAGUUCCUGGACAUAGAAGAGCAAGAUAUGUAUGGAAAAGUGCCGCUGUGGGAGGAGACAAGGGUAUGAUUCAAGUGCAGGGAUCUUGUUAAAGAAAAAGGACACAAUAGUGACCUGGAAGAAAAGGAGUGAAACAGAAACAUUAUAUUCAACGUUUCAGCCAAGUUACUGGGAUUGGCUGUCAGCAGUCCACUUCACAACAGAGUUGACUCAUCGAGCACAUGCUGACUGACCAGCUAGUGCCAAGUGAACAGGAGCAAUGAUGGCCACCAAAGGCAGAGACAACUAAAAGCCUUUGUUAGAGACUGUUCGUGUUCUGAAUGGAGUACAAAACAAAGCACGGAUAAAGUCAAGAGAGAAGUGUGUGCGCGCUGUUAUGCUAUAAACUUUAAGACGUCUGGCAGAUCUAGUGGCAGAUCUAGUGGCAAAGCAACAUAGGUUUAGACAGAAGAGACGAGUAUUCAGAAUAGCUUUUAAAGAAUUAACAUACACAAAUUGGUGGAACGUGGGUGUGAAAAUGCCAACAGGUGAAGAGCAAGAAUAAAGGAAGGUUGGUAUAGAAAUAAAUCAGUAUCAGUGGGAUCAAAAUAUUAAAUUUACUAGAGCUGAGGAUGGGUU
rnacentral:lncRNA from 1 species